AUUGAACGCUGGCGGCAUGCUUUACACAUGCAAGUCGAACGGCAGCACGGGAGCUUGCUCCUGGUGGCGAGUGGCGAACGGGUGAGUAAUGCAUCGGAACGUGCCUAGUGGUGGGGGAUAACACAUCGAAAGAUGUGCUAAUACCGCGUACGCCCUGAGGGGGAAAGUGGGGGAUCUUCGGACCUCACGCUAUUAGAGCGGCCGAUGUCGGAUUAGCUAGUUGGUGGGGUAAAGGCCCACCAAGGCGACGAUCCGUAGCUGGUCCGAGAGGAUGAUCAGCCACACUGGGACUGAGACACGGCCCAGACUCCUACGGGAGGCAGCAGUGGGGAAUUUUGGACAAUGGGCGCAAGCCUGAUCCAGCCAUGCCGCGUGUCUGAAGAAGGCCUUCGGGUUGUAAAGGACUUUUGUCCGGGAGCAAAUGCUGGUGGCUAACAUCCACCGGAGCUGAGAGUACCGGAAGAAUAAGCACCGGCUAACUACGUGCCAGCCGCCGCGGUAAUAC
rnacentral:rRNA from 1 species